AUGAAGUUUGCUAGAGAAAUGGACGAGGUGGAAGAAUAUUUGCGGUCAAAAAAAUACCCAGUGCGUGGUGGAAACGAUACGGGGAAUCAGGCGAAUUUUCGAAGGAAGUGUUGGGCAUUUGUUAUCCAAGACGACUGUCUAAAAUUUAUCCGUAAACCAAACAGGAAAGAUAUAACUGAAGUUAGAUUUCUUCGGGUGGUUAAGGAUCGCCAAUGCCAGCUAGACCUUGUGCUGUCCUGUCAUCAAGGAGUUGGUGACAGCGACGAAGCUGUUGCUUUGGGAGGUCAUGUUGGCAGGGAUAAAGUCAUCGAUCGCGUAAUGCAGAGGUAUUGGUGGCGUAACGUUGCAGCAGAUGUGUCGGAAACUAUAAAAACCUGCCUGCGGUGCCAGAAAGCUAGCACUGUGCUCAAGAAAGUUGACCCGAAACUCCACAAUGUCGCAAUCAAGCCUCAAAACAUGCACCAAAUUGGCGUAGACCUAUGCUCAUUGCCAACGUAAGUUUUAAAUUAAUAAAAUCUGUAUAUAAGUGCAAUAUUACUAUUAUUUUAUAAUACUGACUAUUAAGUUUUUAAUGAUAAACAUGUUUUGUUUUAAUUUGAUAUUACUGAACUUUAAAAUCCCGUACUAAGCAUUACAAUGCCAAAAAUGCCAAAAUGCCAAAGAUCAUUUGCGACCUUUGUUUUUGAUCCGGUAAGGUUCAGUAGGCUGCUUUACACUACUUUUUUUCCGAUCAUCCAACGGUAAUGUCGCCAUUGUGAUGGCCGUUUGCUAUUUUUCGAAGUGGAUUGAGGCUCGACCUUUAAAAUCAAAACAAGCUGUAGAGGUUGCACGCUUCUUGUAUGAGGACAUCAUCUGUCGGCAUGGAUGUGUUGCCAUACAAAUCAAUGACCAGGGCAGAGAAUUUGUGAACUCGGUUUCAUCAGAGCUUCUUCAUACGCUCACAGAAACACCGCAAAGAAUUACAUCCGCGUAUCAUCCUCAAGCAAAAGGAUUAGUUGAGCGUAGCAAGCGAACUGUUCAAAAUCUUCUCCUUCGAACUCUGAGUGAUCGACAUGAAAACUAGGACAAAUGUUUGCACGGUAUAUUAUUUGCACUGAGAUCUACAGUCCAGGCCUCCACGAAGUUUUCACCCUUCAAGAUGCUGUACGGUCGUGAACCUGUCCUUCCUCUUGAUGUGGACCAUGAGCUAGCUGAUUGUUAUUUGAAUCUAGACGAUCCUGAAUUUGAGAAGUCGAACCUCCAUGCAACACUCUCAAAGCUCGAAGUAUUACAGGAUGUUGUCUUCAAGAUCAAGAAAGCUGAGGCUAACAUUGAGCAAGCACAGGCAAAACAGCAAGCUGAUUUUGCAAAGAGGCGAUAUAAACAAAAGAAUUUUAUUGUGGGCGACAAGGUGUUGCGUUACAAUCUUCGCAGGGCUGACAGGAAAAGAGGUAAACAAACCGAUCCGUGGGAUGGUCCCUACGAAGUAGCUCAAGUUUGCGAGAAGGGGCUAUAUUCCCUCGUUCAUCCAUCAACAAAAGUCCCCCUCAAGACUAAAUAAAGUAAAUGGAUGCAACCUAAAAACAAACAGAAACUUCAGCACUUGCAUCUCAGUCAUUAAGUGUUCAGAUUGUAGACGUUCAGAAAGAGGAGAUAACCUACAAGUUCUCGCCAUUGACAGUUGCAACACAACGAACUAUCUGCUCUCACUCUGAUGGACGUCUAAUAUUCAAGAAGUCGGGGCCAUGCGGGAAUAAACAAGACUUUAAAAAAACACUAGCGAACCUCUUAAUGUAAAAAUAAUUAAAGGUGACGAAAUGGUCUCUUCCGUGCAUUAUCGUUUGCCAUAACAAGAGAUGAGGAUCAACAUACCGUUGUCAGGAGCAUGGUUUGUGAUUUCAUGGCCUGCAAUGAAGGGAUCAAAGUGGAAUCUAUGCGUAAUGAUAAGGUGUGGGGAACAACAACGGAGAUGUUAGCAUCUGCCAAGCUGCCAACAUGUUAUUUAAUGUUAAUAUCUGUGUGUGGGCAAAGUUUGGGCCAGAACUAACUUGCCAUAUACACAGUCAAUAUACACAGUCACAGUCAGGAGUCAAUAAUGUAUUUAGAAAAUGAGUCUGGCGUCCAUUAUAAUGUAGUUAUGGGUGUGUAGGGCUAGUCUUGUAACAAGUUGUAUAUACAAGUCAUUAUUUGUAUGGUAAUUAAUGUUAAUAAAAUGUUUUCUC